rnacentral:rRNA from 1 species
CCCUUAGAUGUUCUGGGCCGCACGCGCGCUACACUGAUGCAUUCAACGAGUCUAAAACCUGCUCUGAUAGGGGUGGGCAAUCUUUUGAAUGUGCAUCGUGAUUGGGAUAGAUGAUUGCAAUUUUUCGUCUUCAACGAGGAAUGCCUAGUAAACGCAAGUCAUCAGCUUGCAUUGAUUACGUCCCUGCCCUUUGUACACACCGCCCGUCGCUCCUACCGAUUGAAUGAUCCGAUGAAUAUCAUGGAUUGAGGAUGCAAGCAGGUUCGCCUGUCUUCAUCUUCGAGAAGUGAAGUAAAUCUUAUCAUUUAGAGGAAGGAGAAGUCGUAACA